rnacentral:rRNA from 1 species
GAUCCUGGCUCAGAACGAACGCUGGCGGCAUGCCUAACACAUGCAAGUCGAACGAACCCUUCGGGGUGAGUGGCGCACGGGUGCGUAACGCGUGGGAACCUGCCUUUAGGUUCGGAAUAACAGUUAGAAAUGACUGCUAAUACCGGAUAAUGUCUUCGGACCAAAGAUUUAUCGCCUUUAGAUGGGCCCGCGUUAGAUUAGAUAGUUGGUGGGGUAAUGGCCUACCAAGUCGACGAUCUAUAGCUGGUCUGAGAGGAUGAUCAGCCACACUGGGACUGAGACACGGCCCAGACUCCUACGGGAGGCAGCAGUGGGGAAUAUUGGACAAUGGGCGAAAGCCUGAUCCAGCAAUGCCGCGUGAGUGAUGAAGGCCUUAGGGUUGUAAAGCUCUUUUACCAGGGAUGAUAAUGACAGUACCUGGAGAAUAAGCUCCGGCUAA